GGAGAGGUGGGUGAGUGGCUGAAACCAACGGUUUGCUAAACCGUCGUAGGGGGUUAACCUCUACCGAGGGUUCGAAUCCCUCCCUCUCCGCCA
rnacentral:tRNA from 1 species